UUAAACUGCGAUUAAAUUUAUCUCUAUAUUUCGCAUUUAUAUUCAAAUUUACGUUUAAAAUGUAGAUUGAUGUAUGGUGUUAUAUGAAAGUAUAAAAUAGAAAUGAAAAUAAAUAUUCAGAAGAGAUAGAAUAGAAAAAUCUCUGCAUACAUUGAAUAUAUAUUUCUAUAUUUAGAAUGAUAUCAAAAUAAAAGGUAUAUUCAUUUUUCUUCCAUUAAAACCCUGCCUCUAACCAAAUAAAAAGCAAAAAAAAGCCCCUUCUUUAAACGACACUUGAAUAUUUAGAUAUUGUUUUCAUCAUUAUAGUCACAUUUGCAUUUCUACUUUAUAGUGACGUAUUUAGAAAUAUAUAUAUAUAUAAAGGUAGCAAGAUAGACAAAUUAUUAUUUAUAUUAUAUUUCACACAUACUGCUAAUACUUAUUUUUACUUACCUUUGAAUUUUUUAUAUAGAUCCCCAGCAACAAUAUUUAGAGUAUCUGCAAAUAAAAGACUGGGAAACAGUUAUUUUACUCCAUCAGAACUUGGGAAAGGCCAGAUUUAGAUCUCUCCAAAGGGUCAAAGCUACAUAACACCAGUUAAUACCAUUUACUGUAGAAGCUGAACUGAUUUUGGUCUACACAUAAGUUUCCUGUUUCUGCCAAACUUCUGCAUGAAUAUUAAAAGUCUGAAGAAUGACCACAAGCAGAUCACCUAAACCUACAAGCUCACUGUUUCCCAUUUUUAACCAUGCCAGGAUCUUCUCUUUUGAUCACGUGAGUGGACAUUUCCCUCUAAAACCUUCUGACCUAACCAAGAAGUCUCACCAUUACCACUGUUUCACACCAAAAGCAAAGCACCUCUGUCUGUAUCAUGCCUGCUGAUGGUGCCAGCACACAGUAUGGCCCAAGGUGUCUGCCCCAUGGAUUUCCCCGGGGUAUUCACACUUUUCCAAAGGUAGCCAGCACCUACGCUGACUCUGAAAACAAUUGCCCUUGCAAGAAGGGUCCAUGGCAGCUCGGGGCACUCGUGGUCAGCCACAGGGCCUUGACACACAGAACAGGAUAAAGGGACUUGGAGGAUUCCCACAGCUGGCCUGCACUGACAGAUAGAGCAAGUCCCUUGGGAUUGUGGAGUGAAUUCUGCCUCCCAAGGACUGCAGGCUCACAUCCACACCCAGGACUAUUCAGAAGAGCUGCAGCAAGAGCAGACAUCGGGCAGCUCAGGGUUUCUCUAAGCCCAGUCCUACAAGCCUGUGGGAGCCACAGGUAGCCAGGAAGUUCCUGAGAAAUCCAGACCCUCAGCCAGCAGCACAAAGUCCCAGAGCUGCCAAAUCAGAGAGAACUGCCUUCCACCUCUUUUCGCUCACACACUGGUGCUGAAAACUGCCAGACAGGCUAAAAGUCACUCAGGGAGAUAUAGAGGGUGUUACUGAUAAAGAGUUCUAGGGAAGCUGGAUGGCCAGCAUCCAUCAAACUAUCUUCUGGAAAUCCCAGCUGUCACAUUUCACUCCACUUUUCCCUUUAACUCAGGCUUUCCCCUUCCAGAAUCAAUUCUUCCUC